UACGAAGGGUGCAAGCGUUACUCGGAAUUACUGGGCGUAAAGCGUGCGUAGGUGGUUCGUUAAGUCUGUCGUGAAAGCCCCGGGCUCAACCUGGGAAUGGCGAUGGAUACUGGCGGGCUAGAGUGCGGUAGAGGGUGGUGGAAUUCCCGGUGUAGCAGUGAAAUGCGUAGAGAUCGGGAGGAACAUCAGUUGCGAAGGCGGCCACCUGGACCAGCACUGACACUGAGGCACGAAAGCGUGGGGAGCAAACGGG
rnacentral:rRNA from 1 species